rnacentral:rRNA from 1 species
UAACCUGCCCAAGAGAUCGGGAUAACACCUGGAAACAGAUGCUAAUACCGGAUGACAACAGAUGAUGCCUAUCAACUGUUUAAAAGAUGGUUCUGCUAUCACUCUUGGAUGGACCUGCGGUGCAUUAGCUAGUUGGUAGGGUAACGGCCUACCAAGGCGAUGAUGCAUAGCCGAGUUGAGAGACUGAUCGGCCACAUUGGGACUGAGACACGGCCCAAACUCCUACGGGAGGCAGCAGUA